rnacentral:rRNA from 1 species
AUGGCCGCUGCUGUAAAAACAAGCGGUGGUUUCUGUAACACACAGCAGCAGUGGCUACACUCAACGAGAGAUCUGUUUUUACAUGGAUCCACUCAUUCAAAUGCCAAAGAAUGCAAAAGCAAGAAGGCAAAAAAGCCCACUUCACUGCGUGUGAAAGCUACUUCCACGAAAGUGGAAUUAGAUUUUAAUGAUCCAUCUUGGAAGCAGAACUUUCAAGAAGACUGGGAUAAUCGUUUUAAUCUGCCACGUAUUACAGAUAUAUAUGACUUGAAACCAAGGCCAACUACAUUCUCACUCAAGAAACAGAGAACUCCUACUGGUGAUGAAGAUAGUACACCUAUGGAUAUGUGGAAUGGUUACGUGAACAAUGAUGACCGAGCGCUUAUGAAGGUGAUAAAGUAUUCGUCGCCUACUUCUGCUGGAGCAGAGUGCAUUGAUCCUGACUGUAGCUGGGUGGAGCAAUGGGUGCAUCGUGCAGGGCCUCGUAAGGAUAUAUACUAUGAGCCAAAUGAAGUAAAAGCUGCUAUAGUUACUUGUGGAGGUCUCUGCCCUGGUUUGAAUGAUGUCAUCAGACAGGUAGUAUUCACCCUAGAGACAUAUGGGGUUAAGAAUAUUGUUGGAAUUCCAUUUGGUUUUCGUGGAUUUUUUGAAAAAGGUCUAAAAGAAAUGCCUCUUUCACGUAAUCUAGUGGAGAAUAUUAACCUUGCUGGUGGAAGUUUUCUAGGAGUCUCCCGUGGAGGAGCUAAAACUAGUGAAAUUGUAGAUAGUAUACAGGCCAGAAGAAUUGAUAUGCUUUUUGUACUUGGUGGAAAUGGUACCCAUGCAGGAGCAAAUGCUAUCCAUGAUGAGUGCCGUAAAAGAAAGCUCAAGGUUUCUGUUGUAGCAGUUCCAAAGACCAUUGACAAUGAUAUACCUUUAAUGGACAAAACAUUUGGUUUUGAUACCGCUGUGGAAGAAGCUCAACGGGCCAUUAAUUCUGCCUAUAUAGAGGCACGUAGUGCGUAUCAUGGUAUCGGCUUGGUCAAAUUAAUGGGAAGAAGCAGUGGUUUCAUUGCAAUGCAUGCUUCUCUUUCGAGUGGGCAGGUUGAUGUCUGCUUAAUACCAGAGGUCUCAUUCGCGCUCGAUGGAGAAUAUGGUGUUUUACAGCACCUCGAGCAGUUAAUAAAGAACAAGGGAUUCUGUGUGGUUUGCGUUGCUGAAGCUGCAGGACAAGAGUUACUGCAAAACUCAGGCGCAACUGAUGCAUCAGGAAAUACAAUACUUAGCGACAUUGGUGUUCACAUGCAACAAAAGAUCAAGACGCAUUUCAAGGGCAUCGGUGUCCAUGCUGAUAUAAAAUACAUCGACCCGACGUACAUGGUCCGGGCUUGUCGUGCCAAUGCGUCCGAUGCGAUUCUGUGCACCGUGCUUGGGCAAAAUGCCGUCCAUGGAGCGUUUGCCGGGUUCAGUGGCAUCACUUCCUGCAUCUGCAACACUCACUAUGUGUACCUUCCGGUCACGCAAGUCAUCACGGCACCGAAGCGUGUAAACCAUAAGGGCAGGAUGUGGCACCGUUGCCUCACGUCCACAGGCCAGCCGGACUUCCGCUGA